GCGAACGGGAUUAGAUACCCUGGUAGUCCACGCUGUAAACGAUGUCGAUUUGGAGGUUGUGCCCUUGAGGCGUGGCUUCCGGAGCUAACGCGUUAAAUCGACCGCCUGGGGAGUACGGCCGCAAGGUUAAAACUCAAAUGAAUUGACGGGGGCCCGCACAAGCGGUGGAGCAUGUGGUUUAAUUCGAUGCAACGCGAAGAACCUUACCUACUCUUGACAUCCAGAGAACUUAGCAGAGAUGCUUUGGUGCCUUCGGGAACUCUGAGACAGGUGCUGCAUGGCUGUCGUCAGCUCGUGUUGUGAAAUGUUGGGUUAAGUCCCGCAACGAGCGCAACCCUUAUCCUUUGUUGCCAGCGGUUCGGCCGGGAACUCAAAGGAGACUGCCAGUGAUAAACUGGAGGAAGGUGGGGAUGACGUCAAGUCAUCAUGGCCCCUACGAGUAGGGCUACACACGUGCUACAAUGGCAUAUACAAAGAGAAGCGACCUCGCGAGAGCAAGCGGACCUCAUAAAGUAUGUCGUAGUCCGGAUUGGAGUCUGCAACUCGACUCCAUGAAGUCGGAAUCGCUAGUAAUCGUAGAUCAGAAUGCUACGGUGAAUACGUUCCCGGGCCUUGUACACACCGCCCGUCACACCAUGGGAGUGGGUUGCAAAAGAAGUAGGUAGCUUAACCUUCGGGAGGGCGCUUACCACUUUGUGAU
rnacentral:rRNA from 1 species